GACGAACGCUGGCGGCGUGCUUAACGCAUGCAAGUCGAACGGAAAGGCCCUGCUUUUGUGGGGUGCUCGAGUGGCGAACGGGUGAGUAACACGUGAGUAACCUGCCCUUGACUUUGGGAUAACUUCAGGAAACUGGGGCUAAUACCGGUUAGGAGCUCCUGCUGCAUGGUGGGGGUUGGAAAGUUUCGGCGGUUGGGGAUGGACUCGCGGCUUAUCAGCUUGUUGGUGGGGUAGUGGCUUACCAAGGCUUUGACGGGUAGCCGGCCUGAGAGGGUGACCGGCCACAUUGGGACUGAGAUACGGCCCAGACUCCUACGGGAGGCAGCAGUGGGGAAUAUUGCACAAUGGGCGGAAGCCUGAUGCAGCAACGCCGCGUGCGGGAUGACGGCCUUCGGGUUGUAAACCGCUUUCGCCUGUGACGAAGCGUGAGUGACGGUAAUGGGUAAAGAAGCACCGGCUAACUACGUG
rnacentral:rRNA from 1 species